GACGAACGCUGGCGGCGUGCCUAAUACAUGCAAGUCGAGCGCUGAAGGUUGGUACUUGUACCAACUGGGUGAGCAGCGGACGGGUGAGUAACGCGUGGGUAAUCUGCCUUUGAGCGGGGGACAACAUUUGGAAACGAAUGCUAAUACCGCAUAAAAACUUUAAACACGAGUUUUAAGUUUGAAAGAUGCACUUGCAUCACUCAAAGGUGAUCCCGCGUUGUAUUAGCUAGGUGGUGAGGUAAAGGCUCACCAAGGCGAAGAUACAUAGCCGACCUGAGGAGGUGAAUCGCCACAAUGGGACUGGAGCACGGGCCAAAACCCUUACGGAAGGCACAAGAAGGGAACCUCCGCAAUGGACGGAAGGCUGACCGGAGAACGGCGGCUGGGGUGAUGAAGUUUUCGGAUCGGAAAACCCUGUUUGUAGGGAAAGACGUUGGUGAGAGUGAAAAGCGCAUCAAGUGACGGUAACUAACCAGAAAGCGACGGCUAACUACGUG
rnacentral:rRNA from 1 species